UGGGGAAUAUUGCACAAUGGGCGCAAGCCUGAUGCAGCCAUGCCGCGUGUGUGAAGAAGGCCUUCGGGUUGUAAAGCACUUUCAGCGAGGAGGAAGGUGGUGAGCUUAAUACGCUCAUCAAUUGACGUUACUCGCAGAAGAAGCACCGGCUAACUCCGUGCCAGCAGCCGCGGUAAUACGGAGGGUGCAAGCGUUAAUCGGAAUUACUGGGCGUAAAGCGCACGCAGGCGGUUUGUUAAGUCAGAUGUGAAAUCCCCGGGCUCAACCUGGGAACUGCAUUUGAAACUGGCAAGCUAGAGUCUCGUAGAGGGGGGUAGAAUUCCAGGUGUAGCGGUGAAAUGCGUAGAGAUCUGGAGGAAUACCGGUGGCGAAGGCGGCCCCCUGGACGAAGACUGACGCUCAGGUGCGAAAGCGUGGGGAGCAAAACAGGAUUAGAUACCCUGGUAGUCCACGCUGUAAAACGAUGUCGAUUUGGAGGUUGUGCCCUUGAGGCGUGGCUUCCGGAGCUAACGCGUUAAAUCGACCGCCUGGGGAGUACGGCCGCAA
rnacentral:rRNA from 1 species